rnacentral:lncRNA from 1 species
UUUUUCCGGUUUGCUUGAUAAACCUUGGAAUUUGUGGUUCCAGGCUAUUUUAAAGAGGGAGACGAGCAAUGCUCGGGCUUAAAAAGGAUUGACUCUGCAUUUACUUUUUUAGCCAAAGAAGCACGUCCCCCCAUUCCAGGUCACGAGACAAUUCGUGUCAACUUGCUAUGGUGGGAAAUGCGACAAACUCUAACAGCUCCCCUGACUAGGAGGCAGCUCUUAGCACCCGCUGCUUCCCACACUCCUGCUGCAGCAUCAGGACACGGCGCCUCAGCUCCCCACGCCGCCUUCCGGGCAAAGGCCAGUACACCCCUUUCUCUGUCUGGGGAAACUGAGGCACCGUGACAAGAACGAUCCACAGCCCGGUGAAGAGCCCUGUUUGCGUGGCUUCCUCCUUCUCCCGGGAGAUCGGGGAAGCGCAGUGGACAGCGCACUCCUGGCCCUUAGAAGGUUGUGGCACGAGCCUGGGACACGGCUGUCCCCAACCCGCCAGUCCCCGCCCUGCCUGUAUUUCCAGCAUCCUGCGACCAGCCAGGAGCUGGGAGCGCAGGGCACCUCCAGGCGCGUAGCCUUCGUCAGCCCAGGCGUCCGAAAGUUCUGCAGCUCCGGCGGCCG